GGCGUGACCAGCAUAUUGGCAGUUUCCCCGGGCUAAUCCCGGCGAUCUGUGGUUUGUUCUUCCAGUUAACUUUGUUCCAAAGGCUCCCGGGGAGGGGGUUUGGGGGAACGGGAAAAGCAGAAGGGAGCCAGAGAAGGGGAGAGGGGAAAAAACAAAGGUCUGGAUUUGGGACCUAGAUAAGGAGAGAAAUGAAUCGGAAGAUGGAGAUGGAUGUUAAGGGAGUUUCUCAGUGCCCGGAGCCCAUCCCCCACUCUCAGGGGGCUGGCGGAGGCUGUCAGCAGCCACCACCACCACCGCCACCGCCGCCGCCACCGCCGCCGCCGCAGGAUGAGCAGCCUGGGGAAAGUGCGGCCGCCGGGGACAGCCACCCAGAGAAGAGACCAAACAGUGAGAAAGAAGACAAAAAGUGAAAUAGUGGAUCCUCAAUCCGCAGAAGCUGACGUCAGGCUCAGAGCAAAUUAUAAGAGUCACCCACUGAAAGCCAGUCCCCUAAAUCUUCCAAAGAAGCAGAUGGAGCCCAGUUGAGUGAAGGUAAGAAAUGACCUUUUCUUCUUUCCUUCCCCCCUCAUCCAUUAUUCCUUAGAAUAUUGAGACUAGUACCUGACUGGCUCUCCAUUUUAUCUCUCCUGCACAGAUACCAUCAAAUGGCCAAGAACUUUAAUGAAGACCAGCUGCUUUUGCGUGUUUCACCCUGGCUUUGAUUUAGAGGAGCCCUGGAGGAUGGAGUCACCACGGAAAAAGGAACAGCAGAUCUCAGUUUCAACGACCCCGAGACCCAGUCAAGAGGAUAGUGAGGCCUAGGACCAUACCACUUUAUUUUGGACUCAGACAAGUUGGAGAGCCCUCACCGAACCCUCUUCUUGACAUUUAAAAUCUUGUAUUACAAUGUACAAGUUAAAAAAAAACAUGCCUGAGCAUUAUCUGUGUUAAUUUGGAAGAAGCAUCUUCCGGUUCUGAACUGUUUACUUGUUUAUUCUGCCUUGUCUAUUUCCCCCCCUUUCUUCACCCAAGAAAUCCUGAAUAGGAAAUUAGAGUGAAAAUGUGAUUUUGUCCUGGAAACAGCUUUACAAAGGCAACAGUUUUAUCCCCCCUCCAAAUUUUCAAAGUUAUGGUCCUUGAAUGUCUUUUGUCAGGGUCCCAAGACAUCUGACUGCAAGAUUCUUAUUAUCUCCUGGCAUAGGGACAUUUGAAUGAAUAAAGAAGAUCUCAGAAAGUGUUUUCA
ensembl:lncRNA